ACUAGUCACACCCUUCCUCACUGUCACUAGUCACCCCCUCCCUCUCUCUGUCACUAGUCACCCCCUCCCUCACUCUUUCACUAGAGUGAGGGGGUGACUAGUGACAGAGUGAGGGGGGUGACAGAGUGAGGGGGUGACAGAGUGAGGGAAGGGGUGACUAGUGACAGAGGGAAGGAAGGGGUG